CAGGAUGUGUGAGUGAAAAAAUCAAUUUCCGUUGACGUAAUGUCGUUAUUAAUUAGAAUAAGAAAUAUUUGAGUGAGUGGCCUUUUCCCACGCAUCGCGCGCCGAAUUCCAGGCCCGCACCUGCCCGCAGAGAUUCGGUUCUUGGGCGACAUCCGGCGCAGAGCUAAUGAACCUGGUGAACUCGUCCGAUGAAACGGAACGGCUGUUUUUGCCGCUUUCAACGACAUAUUUCCUCCGAAGGCUCAUUAUUUCUCGUCCUUCGGGCUUCAACAGUCACGCUGAUUGCUGGAACCAGUUAUGACUUCCGGUAUAUGUGAACCUCUCGGACGGCCUGCAGCCGAAGUAUUAUUACCAGCGAGCCCUCCCAUAUACGACGAUGAUUUAUCGACACAACCGCUUCUUAUCUAUGGGAACCGUUUCAAACACAUUUCGGAUGAUGAGCCAAAUUAAUAGCCACAACAAUCGCGAAAACAAAACCAAAGCUUAUAGAGGGGCAACAGGAACAGAGAAGUGAGAAAAUCUAAUUCACACUACUAUUUUUUGUUUACGUUCCUUCAAAAACGGAGUUUCUGUUAGGAAUUAUCUUUCUUCAACUUCAGUUAAAUUGUAGGUUUUUACACAAAUAAACCAUUAUUACGGGUA